GAAAGCGANCGCUAAUACCGGAUAAUAUCCCAAAUUCUUUGGAUUUUAGGGAUCAAAGGUGGUCUCUACAUGUAAGCUACCGAUUGGAGAUGAGCCCGCGUACCAUUAGNUUGUUGGUAGGGUAAUGGCCUACCAAGGUAGACGAUGGUUAGCUGGUCUGAGAGGAUGAUCAGCCACACUGGAACUGACACACGGUCCAGACUCCUACGGGAGGCAGCAGUGAGGAAUUUUGCGCAAUGGGGGAAACCCUGACGCAGCAACGCCGCGUGAGUGAUGAAGGCUUUCGGGUCGUAAAGCUCUGUCGAGUGGGAAGAAAAUGUUUGAUGCUAAUAUCAUCAGGCAUUGACGGUACCACUGAAGGAAGCACCGGCUAACUCCGUGCCAGCAGCCGCGGUAAUACGGGGGGUGCAAGCGUUAUUCGGAAUUAUUGGGCGUAAAGAGCGCGUAGGCGGCUCUAUAAGUCAGAUGUGAAAGCCCGGGGCUUAACCCCGGAAGUGCAUUUGAAACUAUAGGGCUUGAGUAUGGGAGAGGGAAGUGGAAUUCCUGGUGUAGAGGUGAAAUUCGUAGAUAUCAGGAGGAACACCGGUGGCGAAGGCGACUUCCUGGACAAUACUGAC
rnacentral:rRNA from 1 species